rnacentral:lncRNA from 1 species
GUGUGAAAUCAGAGGGUCUAGUCACAGCAGUGCUUCAUCCUCUCAUGCUCCUUCCUGCCACAGGGCCUUUGCAGAGGCUGCCGUGCCUGUUGAAACCUCUUCCCACCAGGCAGCGCCAGCGACUCCUCCUCACUCUCAGCUCAAGUGCUGCCUUCCAUGACCUCUCUAAAUGGCCCACAGUCAUCGGAGGAUCCAGGGAGGAUGAAGUGUUUCCUGAAGGCUGCGAGCCCAACUGCUCCUUUGCCCUUUGCCAUGGCAGCUGGCUGACAGAAUGUUAGUCACCGGGUCUGGACUUUGUGGGCACCUUGGUUUUUCCCCUCGAAAGGAAAAGCUGGCUUUGUGUCCCCCACUGUGCUCUCUCAGAUGCCCCUCUGUCCCAGAGUCCUGCUGCCACUCUCCCUCCAGGGGACGCCUCGCCCCACCCCCAAGCCAGCCUCAUGCUCAGCUGCACCAUCACUCCCUAUUCAGCACCCCACCCCUGCCCCCCAGGCAGUGAGUCCUCAAAGGCCCAGACUCCUCCUCCAUCUCUCUGCUGCUUUAGGACCAGCGCUGCGCCCAGCCCAUGUUAAAACACGUAGAGCGAUUCUAGCCUCAUUCUGUUCACAUGAGGAAAAUCCCUUAGAAUGUGCACCUACCGCACCAGAACCUUCUGUCAACGGAAGGAGAUGACCGAUCUCUGCUCUCUGCUUGGAUUCUUCUGACCAAUUCUCAAGGGCCCAAAGUAUUUACCGAAUUUUUUUAAGUGUUUGUUUUUCUGAUUUUGACAACAAUACAUGCUUGUUGGAAAACUAUUUAAGUAAUGCAAGGAAGCAUUUAAAAUAGUGGUUCUCAACCGAGGGUGGUUUUCUUCCCAAGAGACCUGUGGUGACAACUGGAGACAUUUUUGGUUGCUGAGAGCGGGGGAUGGGGUGUGCCUGGUAUCUAGUGGGCAGAGGCGGGAUGCAGCUGAAUACCCGACAGCGCCCAGAACAAUCCCCACAACAGAAAACCGUCUCACCCCAAACGCCAGUAGGGCCAGGGAUGAGAAACCUGGAUGAGUAGAGAUGUCAGCGACCCAAGCUCCUCCCACCGAGAAAUAAACCCUUGGUGCUUCCGGUAAGAAAGCUCUCUGGGUGCGCAUGCGCACACCACUGCGCAAGCUCACUUGCUUCCUGUGGUAGAUCACGGUCGUCUCUCUAUCUUGCUGUUUUUAAUGCAGUUUAAUACAGUGUUUUGUAUUUAAUUAGUGCAUUUUUACUCUAGGUUUCAUUAUAUGGGUUUACUUCACAAAUCCUCUGUAGUCUGGAACUUGGGAUAUUUCCCCCAACAGUGGAUUCCCACGCGCACAGAGACUCUCUCGCCUAUGAGAUGUUGGCAUGAGUGCCCCAAAGUUACAUUUCCAGCUUGCUUUAAAACUCCGGGCUGUUGAACAUAACGGUGUCCUCUGCCAGGCCACCCUGAGGGCUGAAGGCGGCCUCCAGCUGGGACCCAGCAGAGGUCACCUCUCUCUGCAUCUGCUGCCCCACCCCCCAGGGCCAAGCUGAUAGGUGGGAAAUGACGUCACCGCAGCUGUCAUCUGCAUUUCCUUCUUGACUGGCAGAGUGGACCUUGUCACAUAGGUUGCUGACCUUCUCUGUGAAUGGAUGGUUUUACCUUUUCCUAUUGUUUUGUGAGAACUCUUUGUAUAUAAAGGCUAUCAACUCUAAGAGGACUAGAAGUUUCUCUUCCUCUCUCCUUUCCUCUCUUGCUUUCUCCCUCCCUCCUUUCCUUCCUUCCUUCCUCUUGUGCUUUCGAAGGAUGUGCCUGAUAUUCCGACGAGCAGUUCAUGAAUUACAUCAGGAAGCAGCUUUUGAAACAAACGCAUUAACAACCACCCUGAGUUUCCGCCUCCUGAUACAGCUGAGCCCCAGCCCUUUGCUCAGCUCAAGCUGUUAACCCUCGGC